UCCUAUUUCCUUUCUUUUACAACUUUUUGUUUGCCCCAAAGUUAAUAGUUGCCUUACAUUUGGAUUCACUUAGUUUCAUUUGUGCCUGUGCUCAGUCUCCCCACACCCCCUAACAGCCUCCCAUUCCACGUGGCUCAACCUGUCUGAUCUCAGUCUGUCCGUCCAUGUUUCCAGGAGGGUCUUUCCUGAGCCCUGGCUCCCUGUCCCCUUAGCUGCUGCCUCGGUUUGUCCUUGGACUUCCCUUCACCAUCGCCCUGGAAAUUCCCAGUGCUCACUGCCGAGGCCCUCAUUCCUGGAAUUUCCUGUCUUCCUUGUUCUUGGUUAUUCCUGGUCAUUCCCUCAUUCCGAGGGACCACAUCUCCCAGCAGCUUCCUGAGAAAAUGCGCGGAGCUAAUUGAGCGGGGAGUGCUGCAGUCAGAGAGACGAGAUGAAACAUCAGCUUUCUGACCGCUGAGGCCGUUUGCAGAAGGAGGCUUCUUGUCUGCCGGCCAAGGGCGCGUCCUCCCACCGCCCCGAGAAUUAACCCUCCCACUCAGCCAGGCCGGAACAUGGCAGCCCCUCCAGGUGGGCGACAGCCGGCGGGACACCUGCUCUCCAAAGGCGGGCAGAGCCCAAAGAACAGAGGGGACGGGUGGAGGGUGGAGCCGCUUUCUUCUCCCCAAACUCCACCAUCAGCUGACUGACUCUUCCCCGACACCUAACACGGGUCAGAUGUCCCCAACACGGAGAGCCGUGAUUUCUGCGACCAGGGAAAAUCAGUCAGUCACACUGUCCCUUGGCCAAGAUGAACUCAGCCGUGGUCCCCGGAGAGCUGGAUCAUGGUCCUCCACCCAAACUCUGCAGCAGACACUCGUAGCAAAGGUCAUCGAUGCAGAGUGGGAAGUGGACGUCCCAAAGCAUCAGGCAUCCAGGGAGAGAUGGAGUCCAGGAAAGCCGGCCCCACUCCGGUUCUGCAUCCCUGACGAGGACGAGGUCUUGCUGAGUAAAUUUGGUUCAAGAAACAGGAGAGUCCGAUGUUGAAAAAUUCUCUUGAGCAAAAGCCAUGGAUUGCUAAAGCAAGUUCUUCUUCUUGAAUUGUGACAAUAAGCCCAGAUGACAAAAGUUCAAAGGCGUGGCAAACACACAGGCAGUGUUGAUUGACCCAGUAGGGAAUCCCUGGGUGUCUGCAGUUGGUCCCUGGGAAGGGAAGCUACACUGGAUAUGUUUCAUCUGCUCCCUCCUGGGUGCGGGGCAGGCACACCCCACUUCCCAUAAAGUUUCUGUGCCCUUCAUUAAACAGAGAGCCUAACCUGACCUUAGUGAGGGGAUGUACGUGGUCUCUUCCUACCAGACGUUAAUCCAGCUGAAGUACCGCAGUUGGUAUCAAACGGAGACAGGCACCACUACGUGCAGAAACUCAGCGAACUAAAAGAAGCAGCAGUGAACUAACUAGAACUGUGGUGCAGACAGACUGGCCCGUAGCACGUGGCUGGGGGGGAUCAGAGCAGUGACACCAGGGGAUCUGCCCACAGUCUCCCUCUGUGGGACACUCACGCUCGGUGAUUAAGUAGAGAGCUGCGCUGAAGGCCACGGAGCCCGUGAAAGACGUGGGGACAACUCAGGAGCCCAAAAGGAGGUAGAAAGCUAAGGAACCUCGGGUAUCAUUGCCCCACAAAGAACAGCACAAAACCUGGAGCCUUAUCAAGCCUCUAGAGCUCGCUGCCCUUCUACCAGGAGGAUAGCAUUGGCCAAAUUCAGGAUGUGGGGAAUUUCUACAGGGCAGACACCCCAGGUUCAACAAAUAAUGUCACGGGGAAAGAGGGGGAGGGGACUGUUACAGAUGAAAAGAGACAGAACAGUCACCAGCAACUCGUGGAUCUUGUUUGGACCCCAAUCUGAACAAAUCAACGGUAAAAACCCAUUAUUGAGAAACUGGGGGAAAUUUGAACAUGUGGGUCUGAAGAGAUUGUGGUGGCUUGUAUUGUGUCAUCAUGGCGAAGCUGGGGCUAGAUUUCCCCAGAUCCCUGUCUCUGUGCAGUUUGGGGGGAGAGGAAUUCUCGCGAGAUGUGGGGGCUGAGUAAAGCGCCAGCCAAGACUCUCGAAGGUUGUUAUGAUUCGAUGCAGGACACACACGCAGGUGUCCGUGAAUUCCAGCGUGUCCUCCCUCGCCCCGUCCCCAUCCAGCCCUGCUCCCUGACCACCAACUGCUAACCAGCAGCAGCCCUGAGCCAACCUCCAGAUGCUUGGCUGUGGGCCACGCCGACCCAAGCAGCUACUAUUAAAGGAUCCUUGCUUGUUGCAUUAGGUUCAUAAUGGUGUUGCAUCUAUGUGAGGAAAAACAAGUCCUCGUCUGCUGUAGGUACAUACUGAAGUAUUUAUGGGUAAAAUUAUGUCGUGUCUAGGGUUUGCUUAAAAAUACAUCCAAAAAAAAGGUUGGAGUGUGGAGAAUAAAUGCAACAACAUUGAAAAGUGGUAAUGAUCGUUAAAGUUGGACGACGGGCUCAUUGUUCUAUUUGCUUCGUGCUUCCGGUAUGUUUGGAAAAAUGUUCCUGAUAAAAUAUGAGGGGUGGAGAGAGCUAAGGAAACAGAACAGAGCUGAAGACCCCUCUCCCCGCCCCCGCCAGUCCCAGACUAGCGCUAGGCAAAGUCACAAGCAAAAUUGCAUAACUGGAAAAUUCUUCAAUUCUUCUUGAGGAUGUGGGUUAAGAGAGGGAGGAAAAACUAAGUGUGCAAGAGGCUGAUUAAUAGACACACAUCGCAGGAGAAAAAAGAAAAGCAAUGAAGUCUUGCUAUUACUUUUAACUGGAGUAAUACGCUUGAACAUGUGUGAGCUGGUCUUGUUCUUACAAACAAGGCUAAAAACAAAAUCUGUGACCUUGGACUUCUGAGAUUUGUCCCGGCUAUUGGAUUCUUUUAACUGGUAUUCAGAGGACAGGGUUUCAGACCUGAGUAUGUGCUUUUCAAAAGAUACCUUCUAAAUUGAAACUUUAAAUAUUAGUUGAGAUGUAAAACUUCCUUUUAGGAAGAAUGUGAAAAUCUGCGUGAGCUCAGGCAUUGUUUCGGUGAGGAGAGAAGGUGGCAGUGCGGGACCUGGGCCAACCCAAACAGGAGGGCGGAGGGAGGCAACAGGCCCACAGUUCUGUUCACAAAUGUUCUUCUCCAAGGCCAAACUUUUUGGAAAGGGGUUUAUUUUAUUUCAUUCUGCCCCAGCUCUAUGUGUGGGUCAUUUUAGGAUCUCAGCUGGUGGCCACAGCUUUUGAGGCUUCUAAGUCAAAUCCCUUCUUUUUUGUUCUUGUUUUUUUUAAAGGGGGUAAGAGGUUUUUUAAAGUAGAGAGAUGUUAUAUGGAUGAUAUUAAACAGAAGAAAAUAUGUUGUACUGGAAAAAGCAAGUUAUCCGUGUUCAUAAAAAUGUGUAACGUUGGUAAAUCAGAAACAAUGUUAACCUGACAGAGAAACAAACUCUAGAGGAAAACACUGCAUAGUGUUUCAAAAGCAAAAGCUUUUGUUAAAAUAGUAU